rnacentral:lncRNA from 1 species
CGAUGACUGCCAAGUCAUUAUCCUCGUGAUCUCGAUGACCACGAUCUUCUUCUCCGUUGAAUAACAAUUGGCGAUCGAAGAGAGGGAAAACCUGUCGGAUCUGGCCGUCGAGGAAGAAGCCGACGUUACUGGACGAGGCAUCGGGAUCCAUGGACAGAGUGACAAAUUCGAAAUCGUCAUCUUCGUUUUCGUGUGGUGGAAGAUCAUUGGAGACGGCGAGUGGUUCACGGGCGACUCUAGCGGCGGUAUCAGCGAGGUUAUCGGAUGAAUAACUGUUGAAACUGAGACAAAAGGAGGCCGUGGAACCGUUAUCCUCUUGCAUCUGAAAGAAUAUAAAAGGUGGAGUAGUGGAGUUUUUGAGGUAUGGCAGUGUGAGUUGUAUUAAUGGCGUUUAUAUAUAUAUAUACACACACACACACAUGUAUAUAUAGGGAAACUGAAUGGUUGAAUUUGUAUAGAUUGUAUUUCCUAUAGUGCUUAGAUGCGUCUCUUAUUGGCAGAUUCCACGCGCUUCGUUCAGGCGCGUAAGUCUUUUAUGCUAAAUCUUUAUUUCCUUAUUAUUGUUUUUUUCUUCUUCUAGGAAAUGGCCGACUCACAUAGAGCAGAGGAAUUAUUAUCUGCAAUUUAAUAUUAAAAUAUAAAAUAAUAAAAAAAUUAAUUCAUUAAUUGUUUAUUUCUCUACCAAUCUAUUCUUCUCAUGUUUACUGUCUUUACU